rnacentral:rRNA from 1 species
ACGAACGCUGGCGGCUGCUUGACACAUGCAAGUCGAACGGAGGGGCGAACGGGUGAGUAACGCGUGAGCAACCUGCCUAUGACAGUGGGAUAGCCUCGGGAAACCGGGAUUAAUACCGCAUAGUCAUAGAUGGGCGCGCGUCUGAUUAGCUAGUUGGUGAGAUAACAGGCCACCAAGGCGACGAUCAGUAGCCGGUCUCAGAGGAUGAACGGCCACUUUGAAGCUGGGCAGCGGUCCAAACUCCUACGGGAGGCAGCAGUGGGGGAUAUUGCACACUGGGGGAAACCCUGAUGCAGCGACGCCGGGUGAACGAAGAAGGUAUUCGUAUCGUAAAGUUCUGUCCUAUGGGAAGCGGUACCAGCAGAGAAAGCUCCGGCUAAAUACGUGCCAGCAGCCGCGGUAAUUC